rnacentral:rRNA from 1 species
AUUGUUUCUUCGGUUUUAAUGCUCAGAGUAAGUGGGAGACGCUGAAGAUGCCCUUUAGGGGGCAUCCGAGUCAUCAAUGAGACACCACCCUUUGAAACUGGAGGAUCUAACCCUGAGCCGUGAAUCCGGCCAGAGGACCGUGUCAGCCGGUCAGUUUUACUGGGGCGGUAUCCUCCCAAAGAGUAACGGAGGAGCGCGAAGGUGGGCUCAGCCCGGUUGGCAACCGGGUGUCGAGUGCAUGGGCAUAAGCCCGCCUAACUGUGAGACCAACAAGUCGAGCAGAUGCGAAAGCAGGCCCAAGUGAUCCGGCGGUAGAAAGUGGAAUUGCCGUCGCUCAACGGAUAAAAGGUACCUUAGGGAUAACAGGCUGAUCACGCCCAAGAGUUCAUAUCGACGGCGUGGUUUGGCACCUCGAUGUCGGCUCGUCGCAUCCUGGGGCUGUAUUCGGUCCCAAGGGUUUGGCUGUUCGCCAAUUAAAGCGGCACGCGAGCUGGGUUCAGAACGUCGCGAGACAGUUCGGUCCUCUAUCCUCUGUGGGCGUUGGAAAAUUGAGGGGUUCAGACCUUAGUACGAGAGGACCGGGUCUGACGCACCACUGGUGCAUCGGUUGUACUGUCAAGUGCAUGGCCGAGUAGCUAAGUGCGGAAGGGAUAAGCGCUGAAAGCAUCUAAGCGCCAAGCCCAUCCCAAGAUGAGUUUUCCCUAUAGGUUCGUGGAAGACCACCACGUCGAUAGGUCGCAGGUGUAAGUGCAGCAAUGUAUUGAGCCAAGCGAUACUAAUCACCGAUAGACUUCAUCAU